AGUCUCACCCCCGCUGAUGGUUCGUCAGGGCGCCUGCCGGUGUCAUGACGAGGAGACAGGGAACCCGGUGCGAGUCCGGGACUGCCCCGCAGCGGUGAACGGGAACGAAGGCCGUCGCCGUCCAUACCGGACGGUGCACACACUAGGAGACCUCGGUCUCUCGGGAAGUGACGGCCGUAGGACCGGCGAGUCCCACCUCGCCGGAAGCCCGUGAGUCCGAAGACCUGCCAUCGGCGCGUGCCACCGA
rnacentral:ncRNA from 22 species